AUUCCAUGAUGAGGGCACUACCGUAAUAACUCUUUGUACCUUUCCCAUGCCUCAUACAAGGACUCAUCAUCCAUUUGUUGGAAAGCAGUGAUCUCGUUCCUCAAAUU
rnacentral:snoRNA from 1 species